AAAAGAAACGGGGUUGGUAGUUUUUGAGGAAGAAGAGGAAAAGCACCUUUUUUUUGUCCUUUCCUUCUUUUUUUAUUUUCAUUUAUCCUAUUUUCUUUUUAUCAUUACCGUUGGAGGAUGAGAGAGUGUUGAGUGCGUGAGAGAUUAGCCUUUAGCUCUCAACCACUUUUAAUUCUUUCCUCCUCUCAUCAAUUGACACGUG
rnacentral:lncRNA from 1 species